GGCGGCGUCCCGCAGCCGGCCGAGCGGCUCCCCCUACAGACAGGCAGACGGACGUGCCUGCAGCGACGAGGCCCCGGCAGCCUCCCGUCCCCAGUUGGCGCUGCUGUGGUCCUGGAGACCAUCAACUCGUAGAUUUACCAAGCCAAAAGAACAUGCGUUUUCGUCUUUUAGGGAUCCCUAGCGGCUGUUCUUUAUGCUUUUAAGUUGCCGGUGAGGUUGUGGAUGCCCCCUCCAUGGAAGCAUUGCAGGCCAGGCUGGAUGGGGCUUUGAGCAACCUGGUCUAGAGGGAGGUGUCCCUGCCUAUAGCAGGUGGGCUGGAGUGAGAUGAUCUGCAAGGUCCCUUCCAACCCAAAACAUUCUAUGAUUCGUUAAGUUUGAAAGAGCAAUAAGUGACAUUCUUGUGCUUUCUGACUUUUUUGGACUUUGUGUGAAGUCGUGGUAACAUUUCCUCUUCAGGCCUUGGCAUCAAAUCCUUUCAGAUACAGAAGCCCUUACCUCUCAAGUUAACAUCUAGCACAACAGAAUCUCCCUGCGGUAUUAUUUCUACCCACUGAAAGUCUGUGCAUGGGAAAAAAAUGUUUUUGCAACAACAAGAAGUUUCAGGAGAUGUUUGGGGGACUACCAGUAGGGCGCUAGGAAGGCAGAUGCGCAUCUUCAAUCUCAUUGCCUGCCUCCACUUGAGAAGUGCUAUGCUUUUCCAAUGCAACCAGCUGUCACAACCAGCCACCUUGUCUUAUCUAGUUCUUGCUUUGCCAAGCCCACUGCUAAGAGAGCUG
ensembl:lncRNA